GAAGUUUUUAGUUUUCAUUAGCCGGACAGGGGACAAGGGAUACGACGUCGACAAGGGACAACAUGAUGAAGAUUGCAACAAAGAGGUGCUCGGAAUGGGGGGAGAAGAAAUAAGAGAAAGUAAAAUAAAUUACACAUUUAGAUUAACCCAUUAACGACGGUUGGGAAAUGAGUGUGCGCCAGUGCCAUCCAACGAAUAUGGUAUGUAUGUACAUACGACCCAAAGAGAGGGGAAUGGUUCACCGACGACUUUUCCAAAGGGAAAUAUAGUAGAGUAGCAGAUUAUCGUUACAGUCGCCACUUUCGUACAAUUGUUUGCUGGCGCUGCAGCGGAAAUUUUAAAGCGGAAAUUGAAAAGUUUUUCCCAGCGAUUCCUUCCAGAACCUUUUUGAAAUAUGUGCGAAACGUGCACAGUCCUCGCCGAUACUUAUCAGGAGUUUCGGUGUCGAAGUCAGAGUCGCAGAGCUGGCUUUGCCGAUUGUUCGAUUUUACAACAAAUGGCAAAAUCACUUAACACGCCGUUAACACCCACAUUAGUUGUACUUGGCCGCACACACACACACAGACAUGCACACACACACACGCAUAGAGGGAGCCAAGAGCACGUGACAGUAUGAGAAAGGAGUGGGACAGGCAGCGUUCCACUUACAGUUAGAGUUUCAAUUACUUUAGCCACCACCAAUGCCCCGCCAGGGAAAAAAGCCUCUCAUAAUCGAAUUAAAGGAGAGUGUGGCAGUGGGUGAGAGUGAGAGCGAGAGCGCUUCAGUGGACGACUGAGUCAUUAAAAACGCAGGGAGAACGAUUGCACGCAAAUUUACUGGUACCACCGCCGCUUUCCUGCCCACCCGCUGCUGCUGGUCACACGCACACACACACACACAUGUGUAGCACAGGGAAACUAUGCAUGGAAUUGGCAAUCGCACGUGUCGCUCUGGUCACCCGAGAUAAGCAACUGCCGCCGCGUGGCCCUCGAUCUCUUUCGCUCUCUCUGCAGAGAGAGGGAGAGAUACCAUCGAUGGACGGAUGAUGAACUACGAGUUGAAUGAGAGAGAUGUUUGCGCGCUGCAGGCACACCCUUCCCCGCAGAGAAAGUACUAUGGCUGUGGCAGACGAGGGACCGCGGGGAUGUGCGGUGUUCGGCAGGACACUGCUCGAGAUUUUUCGGAAAUCCCUUGAAGAACUCUAAAUGAGGGACCAGCAGGGUAUCCUCGCAUUCGGUGUUCAGUAUUCCGUAUUUUCCUGAUGUGUGCCCGCAAUUUUUUUCCAAGGCGAUGAACUGUGAAUUGGAAAAUUGAAGCUUAGUGGGACACAAAAAUGGCCGAUAGAUGGCAUCUCUAUAGAUGGGAGCACGCACUCCCAAAAGGGAUUUGGACAUAUUAGGGGGAAAUGCCUUGGAUCGGAUCCGCACUUCCCCCCUUCCCGCCACCAUGGAGCGCAUUCGACUUUUCUGACCAGAAAUCCACCUCAAAUUGACCCUGUCGUCACAUACGCAAAAGGGUAAUGGGGCGGGGCCUACCCUUUACCCCUACCCACCACCUACUCAAAGGUUUUAUGUCACACAAAUUAACUCUGUGAUCUGGAUGCAAUGGUAUUGAAUAUGGAAUGAAAUGGAAGCCAAGCUUAGCAAAUCACAAAUUUAUGAGACAAUCCAUCAAUGCCAGGCGGAACGGUUUUCAGGGGACUAGGGCAGGGGACUAGGGCACCACGAAAACGACCACGAGCGGCGCACCACCAGUCUAAUCGCUUCCCACGAUCGGCAGAGGCACUGGCAAAGGAAGAGCUACAGCCAGAGCGGCUAGCAUUUCCAUAUGUAAAAUUGCGCCUUUCAUUAAUCCGUAAAUUAGAAGCAUCGAAUGAUAUCUGCGUCGCUUCCCUGACUGGAGUGCACCGCACCCCCUGUUCAGUCCCAUGAUACAAAUCACUGCACACACACACACACACACAUGCAUACACACAAGCACAUGAAUGCCAUAUGAAGGGCAAAGGCGACAGCGAACCCAAACCCAAACCCAAACCCGAAAUUCCUAACCCAAUCCCACCACCACCACGGGAGCGCACAGUGGCCAAGCGAGCGGCAAAUACCCAUCCGAAAUUUGAACAGGAAGAAUCCAUACUGACUACUUGAUUAUCAGACAGGAAUAUUAGGAAUAAUAAAUUGUAUAUCAUAUAGA